UACGUAGGGGGCAAGCGUUGUCCGGAAUCAUUGGGCGUAAAGCGCGUGUAGGCGGUUCGGUAAGUCUGCUGUGAAAGUCCAGGGCUCAACCCUGGGAUGCCGGUGGAUACUGUCGGACUAGAGUACGGAAGAGGCGAGUGGAAUUCCCGGUGUAGCGGUGAAAUGCGCAGAUAUCGGGAGGAACACCAAUUGCGAAGGCAGCGCGCUGGGACGUAACUGACGCUGAGACGCGAAAGCGUGGGGAGCAAACAGG
rnacentral:rRNA from 1 species